UUUAGUUUGUUUGGCUAGAAACACGCAGCUCCAAAGCUCCCUUUGGCUCCUUUUCCCUAUGACACUCAUAGCUCAGAAUCAACACGUGACUUCCAUUUCACGGAUAAUGCAGCUGCUACAUUUCCAAGUUUGCCUGACUCCCAGAUUUCCCCUUGUUUAACCUCGGGACUGCCUUGGGAUUUUCCUCAAGGCUGCCAAAGUCAGCUUCUCCUCCUCCUCUUCAGAACUUCCUCAGCUCCGCUGCUUAGGGACAGAACCUCUCACUGGAUGCAACCCACGUGCUGCAGCUGUGCUUCCCGAGGGCCACAGAGGGAGGAGCACGGUGCUGAUCUGAGAAGAGGCUUGAAUGGAUGCCUUCCUGGGUAUCUCACGUCUUCUACAGUCCCUUGGAUUUUGCAAGUUGGAGGUUUGAUGUACCGCAGCAAUAGCAACUACACUGUGAAGAUGGGAGAGUGUGACACCCAAAAAAAGGAAAAUUGAAGGAAGACGUUCAAGUAUUAGAUUUAGAAGCAUGUAAGUAGUAGGCCAGUGUGCCCGUCAGAAUCUGAAUGACAGAACUGUGUAUUCUGAUGAAUUUGCGUUUCAAAUUUGGUCUCCCGCCGACACUGCUCUAUAGCCCAUGAAGUUUCUGUAGAGAGGGAGAACUCAGCCAUGUGCAGCUCUUGCUUAAGUGGACGCUGGGGUCUGGCCUGGGUUUUGAUGGCAUAAGUUAUGGUGAGGCUGUGGGCUGAGAACCUCUUCUUUUUCAGCAGGUAAGCAUAUUUUGAAGGUCUCCAGUAAGAGAGCAUUUAACAAGCCUCUGCUGGAAUGAGCACCAACAGAUUGUAAAUUGCAAAGAGCAAUGUAAUUGAAUCUGAUCUCUGGCUUUUACCCAGCGUAGUAAUUGGAAAUUGCCUUUCUUUCAACUAUAUGCCGUUGCUAGGAUGGUUACCUCUUUUCAAGACAGAAUAAUGUCAAGUAAGAAGUGGUUUACAGUCCCCUUGGUACUGGUGGAGAAUGAAAAAGUGAAGACUUUCCUCACUUUCUUGUACUUCCUGCUGUGUCAGUGGUAUUACACUAAGUACUGCACAGUAAUUAACAGCUUAGCAAACAUGAACUCAGUCCUUGAAUAGCCACGGCCUGAAGCCCAAAUAUCAGCACUCUGUUCCAGC
rnacentral:lncRNA from 1 species